rnacentral:rRNA from 1 species
UACGUAGGGUGCGAGCGUUGUCCGGAAUUAUUGGGCGUAAAGAGCUUGUAGGCGGUUUGUCGCGUCUGCCGUGAAAAUCCGGGGGCUCAACCCCGGACUUGCGGUGGGUACGGGCAGACUAGAGUGUGGUAGGGGAGACUGGAAUUCCUGGUGUAGCGGUGAAAUGCGCAGAUAUCAGGAGGAACACCGGUGGCGAAGGCGGGUCUCUGGGCCAUUACUGACGCUGAGGAGCGAAAGCGUGGGGAGCGAACAGG